rnacentral:rRNA from 1 species
GAGUUUGAUCAUGGCUCAGGAUGAACGCUAGCGGCAGGCUUAACACAUGCAAGUCGAGGGGUAGCAGGGAGCUUGCUCCGCUGACGACCGGCGAACGGGUGCGUAACGCGUAUAGAAUCUACCUCUUACUAAGGGAUAGCCCAGAGAAAUUUGGAUUAAUAUCUUAUAGUAUACAGACCUGGCAUCAGGAUUGUAUUAAAGGUUACGGUAAGAGAUGACUAUGCGUCCUAUUAGCUAGAUGGUGUGGUAACGGCACACCAUGGCUACGAUAGGUAGGGGCCCUGAGAGGGGGAUCCCCCACACUGGUACUGAGACACGGACCAGACUCCUACGGGAGGCAGCAGUGAGGAAUAUUGGACAAUGGAGGCAACUCUGAUCCAGCCAUGCCGCGUGCAGGAAGACUGCCCUAUGGGUUGUAAACUGCUUUUAUACAGGAAGAAACACUCUCACGUGUGAGAGCUUGACGGUACUGUAAGAAUAAGGAUCGGCUAACUCCGUGCCAGCAGCCGCGGUAAUACGGAGGAUCCAAGCGUUAUCCGGAAUCAUUGGGUUUAAAGGGUCCGUAGGUGGAUGAUUAAGUCAGAGGUGAAAUCCUGCAGCUCAACUGUAGAAUUGCCUUUGAUACUGGUUGUCUUGAGUUAUUAUGAAGUAGUUAGAAUAUGUAGUGUAGCGGUGAAAUGCAUAGAUAUUACAUAGAAUACCAAUUGCGAAAGGCAGAUUACUAAUAAUAUACUGACACUGAUGGACGAAAGCGUGGGGAGCGAACAGGAUUAGAUACCCUGGUAGUCCACGCCGUAAACGAUGGUCACUAGCUGUUCGGACUUCGGUUUGAGUGCUAAGCGAAAGUGAUAAGUGACCCACCUGGGGAGUACGUUCGCAAGAAUGAAACUCAAAGGAAUUGACGGGGCCCGCACAAGCGGUGGAGCAUGGUGGUUUAUUCGAUGAUACGCGAGGACUUACCAGGCUACAUGUAGAUGACAGUUUAGAAAUAGACUUUCUCGACAUUACAGGUGCUGCAUGGAUGUCGUCAGCUCUGCCGUGAGGGUCAGGUUAGGUCUAUAACGAGUCCCACCCCUGUGCUAGUGCAAGCGAGCUAUGUCGGACUCUUACUAGAACGUCUCAGUUGCCAAUCG